rnacentral:rRNA from 1 species
CGUACACUCCUGCGGGAGGCAGCAGUGGGGAAUAUUGCACAAUGGGCGCAAGCCUGAUGCAGCCAUGCCGCGUGUAUGAAGAAGGCCUUCGGGUUGUAAAGUACUUUCAGCGGGGAGGAAGGCGAUAAGGUUAAUAACCUUGUUGAUUGACGUUACCCACAGAAGAAGCACCGGCUAACUCCGUGCCAGCAGCCGCGGUAAUACGGAGGGUGCAAGCGUUAAUCGGAAUUACUAGGCGUAAAGCGCACGCAGGCGGUCUGUCAAGUCGGAUGUGAAAUCCCCGGGCUCAACCUGGGAACUGCAUUCGAAACUGGCAGGCUAGAGUCUUGUAGAGGGGGGUAGAAUUCCAGGUGUAGCGGUGAAAUGCGUAGAGAUCUGGAGGAAUACCGGUGGCGAAGGCGGCCCCCUGGACAAAGACUGACGCUCAGGUGCGAAAGCGUGGGGAGCAAACAGGAUUAGAUACCCUUGUAGUCCCAUG